rnacentral:rRNA from 1 species
CGGCGGACGGGUGAGUAACGCGUAGGAAUCUACCUGGUAGUGGGGGACAACUUGUGGAAACGCAAGCUAAUACCGCAUACGCCCUAAGGGGGAAAGCGGGGGAUCUUCGGACCUCGUGCUAUCGGAUGAGCCUGCGUAGGAUUAGCUAGUUGGUGAGGUAAAGGCUCACCAAGGCGACGAUCCUUAGCUGGUCUGAGAGGAUGAUCAGCCACACUGGGACUGAGACACGGCCCAG